rnacentral:rRNA from 1 species
UACGAAGGGUGCAAGCGUUACUCGGAAUUACUGGGCGUAAAGCGUGCGUAGGCGGUUUGUUAAGUCCGCUGUGAAAGCCCUGGGCUCAACCUGGGAAUUGCAGUGGAUACUGGCAAGCUAGAGUGCGGUAGAGGAUGGUGGAAUUCCCGGUGUAGCGGUGAAAUGCGUAGAGAUCGGGAGGAACACCCGUGGCGAAGGCGGCCUGCUGGGCAUUAACUGACGCUGAGGCUCGAAAGCGUGGGGAGCAAACAGG